AUGCAAAGAACUUUGAAAAGAGAGUUAAAGAGUACCUGAAAUUGCUGAAAUGGAAGCGAAGGAAACCAGUGUCGUGCGUGUCAUAUUUCUCUGCUCGCUUGCGAGUUGAGCGCUGUGGCUGCACUGGUCAAGGUUGGUUGUCGACGCUGUAAUUCACGGUGUUUGUGACUGAGUUUUGACGAAAUGGUUUUCUUUACCCCGUCUUGAAACACGGACCAAGGAGUCUAACAUAUGUGCGAGUACAGGGGUGUCAAACCCCCGUGCGCAAUGAAAGUGACAGUGGUUGUACUAUUUUGCACAAUCUGCCGGCCUCAAUCCCUCGGGAGAACGGUCUGAGUGUGAGCAUACAUGUUGGGACCCGAAAGAUGGUGAACUAUGCCUGAAUAGGGUAAAGCCAGGGGAAACUCUGGUGGAGGCUCGUAGCGAUUCUGACGUGCAAAUCGAUCGUCAAAUUUGGGUAUAGGGGCGAAAGACUAAUCGAACCAUCUAGUAGCUGGUUCCCUCCGAAAUUUCCCUCAGGAUAGCUGCGAUCAAAGUGCAAUUUUAUCA
rnacentral:rRNA from 1 species